CGCGCAACGUUUGCGGACGGGAGGAAUCGAGUGAGCAGGCUACUUGUUGAGAGCCAUACGGCGGCGGCAGCGUCCCGGAGCUGUCAAAUGUUGCGCACAGCCGUCGGUCUUCAGUCAGUAGAGUAACCAGACUAAUCCACCAGACAAACAACUCGGAAGAUUAACCUUUUUUAGCCUCGCGAAACUAGUUUUUGCCUCCACACCCGGAAUCCUGUUUUUAAAACCAUUAUCAAUUUGUCACAUGGCUUUGGAGAAUUCAAUAACAACAAAAAAUGGCGACAAUCACGUUGCUCUAUGUGGUCUUGCUGCGUCAUUAAAAAUAUUCAUGUAAACAUGGGGAAUUGAACGGGAAAAUUGCAGGGUCUCUUUUUUACAGACACUGAUGGCAACAAACGGAACAUUCAGCCCUGGCGAUGUGUUUGCCCUCUGCCCUGUUUAGUUAGGCUGUCGCACAUGUUGCUUUGCUUUUCACGUCUGACAUGAACAUUUUUGGCCAGUGCCCUGUGCUACGGGGCUAAUGGAGUUGUUUACAUGAAGUGCGGAGGGCGGACUGACGACGAGGAGGAGGAGCCGCUACGUCGGCCCGCGACGCCACCGGACUGCUCCAGAGGCUGCUCGCUCGCGCCGAGGGGGGGGCGGAGCCCGCGAGGACAAUCAUAACAAGUCUGACGUCACUCGGCCUUGUGGUUGGUAUGAAUAAUAUACAGAAGUUUGUCUCUAGCAAGUCCUAGCAGGAAAGAGGUUAGGGGAAAAAAAUGUUUUGUACAAGUAAUUGUUUUAUGAGAUGAAACAUUAACCAAGAGCAGAAUGGACACAAAGACAUAAUGACUAUAUACUUUCAUAUGGAAAGAGUGAUAAACAUGUGCAUCAUGAUAAAAUACAUAAGACUAUAAAGCAAGCAUCCUCCUAGCGGGUUGUUCAUUAUUAACUGCCCACCCUUCAGACACAGGCAGGCAUCAUUUAAUGGACAUCAGAGUGUGUCUUUUGCAGGACAGAAUCAAUAAUUGGAGCACUUCGGUUGUGCAAAUAGCAAAACCUACCAUACCUCAAAGGCCUAAAUAAAUUAAUAAAAUGAUUUAAGUGCAUAUGGGAGCUUACUCCUAUAACUUCUAAUACUUAACUGCCACUUUCACCAAAUCUAGACUUUUCUGAUAUAAACAUUAGGAUGAAGUAUAAAGGAAACCUGGACAAUUAGGAUUCUAUGAGCUCAUUGCAACAUAAGGACUGAUUUAUUUCUGUUCCCCUAAUCAAACUAUGAACUACAGUUUUAUGUUUUGUACCUUUUUACUCUGCCUUUGUUAGUUUAUUUGCUAGUGGUCUUGUGUUUCCCCAGAAUGUUAUGGAAAUUUUGAGGUUUAAAUUCCAUGGUUAGAGGGCAAAAGACUUUUCUGCUGGUGACCAUUGGCGGGAAGGAUAUUUCAGAGACAAAUGUAUUCAAUUGAAAGAUUGUUAGGUUACGUGACUGUAUUACUCUGCAAAUGAGUCUGUUUUUAGUAUUAGCUAAUGUAUGUAACUUUAAAUUAUUUAUAAACAAAUGCUUGCGAUACAAUUCGCAUAUGUUUUGUAUGAGAUGCUAGCUAAUAAGCUGCAAAAAUACAAAAGGAAAACUUUAUCUUUGCACUUGUUGACCUAGAGCACAGAUAUAUUGGGUGGAUGACGAAUGGAGCGAAGCCCCAGACUGCUAGAUUUGACAGGCUGCCCUGGUUCAGUUAUCACGGUGCUGAUGCUGUCCACAUCGAAGGUACAGUACUGUGAUAACUGAAGGAUGGCUGCCAACUUGACACGAGUGCAGUGAAUCAAAGCACGUUCGGGUAACGAGCCAGAGGACCGAAGAGGAGAAAGAAAUUAUUGUGUUAUGUUGAUUUAGAAAAGUUUAAUGGGUUAUCCAAAAGUCCAUGUGUUUUUAUUUACAAAAUAGUUUUCCCUUGUUGGAUCUGUCAGUUGGUUGUGACAUGGUCAAUGACAAAUCGAUGAGGUUGUUAUUGUGUAUUUAAGUUCAAGAAACAUUCAACUCAAAACCUGUAUGUUAGUAUUAUCUUCACUACUUAUGCGAUGUCUGCCUAAUAAAGUGAAUUUUGUAUGUUUUUUAAUUUAUCUCUGCUUUUGUAAGUUCAGUGGAUCUUAAAUACAGAAGGUUGCAGCUAUAAAAGUCAACUAUUGAGUGACUGAAGUUUUCAUCUGAUCUGUUUUAUUAUUUUAUUAUUAAAUUGAAUACUUUCUUACAGCCCUCUCCGUAGCAUUGCCAGUUAGUUCCAUUUAGCAUUCAAACUAAUGUACAUCACGCAAACUUGACAAAGAAACCUCCCAUGUUCAUUUCCUGCUUUUCCAGUCUGACCACUUAUGCUAGUUAACCUUGCAUUGCAAUAUAAGUCCUAACACCUAAUAAAUAUCAAUUUUAGAAUAAUGCUGUGUUCUUCAACUUUUUUCUUGACUAAACUAUGAGGAAUGAGGAUCUGCACUGAGCUGUCCCUCACUGGGAGCACUGGGCUACAGACUGAAGCAUAAGGUACUCCUGAAUGGUUGCUCCACAUUGUUGUCAACAGAGGGAGCUAAAGAUCUAUCAUUGAUGUACUUUGUGGUCUGCAUAACAAGGUAUAUGGCUCUGUCCCGCUCUGUAAUCUGUUUCUGAAACCUUAAUAACGAAUAUGUUGACUGCAGUUGUUAAAGUGUUCAUGAUUCAUGUUAAAUAGAGUCUGAAGAUUUGGCUGAAACCAGUUUUGAUAACAAAAAAAGCUCUUACUCAUUGUUCCAUUGCUAUGUGAAUAAGAUAUUUUUUCUCCAAUAAAUCAGAACAGUUGAACAUGA